UUUCCGUAGGUGAACCUGCGGAAGGAUCAUUACCUAGAGUUGUAGGCUUUGCCUGCUAUCUCUUACCCAUGUCUUUUAAGUACCUUACGUUUCCUCGGCGGGUCCGCCCGCCGAUUGGACAAUUUAAACCAUUUGCAGUUGCAAUCAGCGUCUGAAAAAACUUAAUAGUUACAACUUUCAACAACGGAUCUCUUGGUUCUGGCAUCGAUGAAGAACGCAGCGAAAUGCGAUAAGUAGUGUGAAUUGCAGAAUUCAGUGAAUCAUCGAAUCUUUGAACGCACAUUGCGCCCCUUGGUAUUCCAUGGGGCAUGCCUGUUCGAGCGUCAUUUGUACCUUCAAGCUCUGCUUGGUGUUGGGUGUUUGUCUCGCCUCUGCGUGUAGACUCGCCUCAGAACAAUUGGCAGCCGGCGUAUUGAUUUCGGAGCGCAGUACAUCUCGCGCUUUGCACUCAUAACGACGACGUCCAAAAGUACAUUUUUACACUCUUGACCUCGGAUCAGGUAGGGAUACCCGCUGAACUUAAGCAUAUCA
rnacentral:rRNA from 1 species